rfam:Candidatus Melainabacteria bacterium RIFCSPLOWO2_12_FTLL_35_11 rifcsplowo2_12_scaffold_2788, whole genome shotgun sequence.
GGGCGAUUGGCGGAAUGGCAGACGCGCAUGACUUAGGAUCAUGUGGGUAACCGUAGAGGUUCAAGUCCUCUAUCGCCCA